AGAGUGAACGCUGGCGGCAGGCCUAACACAUGCAAGUCGAACGGCAGCACAGAGGAGCUUGCUCCUUGGGUGGCGAGUGGCGGACGGGUGAGGAAUACAUCGGAAUCUGCCUUAUCGUGGGGGAUAACGUAGGGAAACUUACGCUAAUACCGCAUACGACCUACGGGUGAAAGCGGAGGACCUUCGGGCUUCGCGCGAUAAGAUGAGCCGAUGUCGGAUUAGCUAGUGCGGGUAAGCCACAAGGCGACGAUCCGUAGCUGGUCUGAGAGGAUGAUCAGCCACACUGGAACUGAGACACGGGUCCAGACUCCUACGGGAGCAGCAGGUGGGAAUAUGGACAAUGGGCGCAAGCCUGAUCCGAGCCA
rnacentral:rRNA from 1 species